UACAGAGGUCCCAAGCGUUGUUCGGAUUCACUGGGCGUAAAGGGUGCGUAGGUGGCCAGGUAAGUUUGGUGUGAAAGCUCGGAGCUUAACUCCGAAAAGUCAUUGAAUACUAUCUGGCUGGAGGGUCGGAGGGGAGACUGGAAUUCUCGGUGUAGCAGUGAAAUGCGUAGAUAUCGAGAGGAACACCAGUGGCGAAGGCGAGUCUCUGGACGGUUCCUGACGCUGAGGCACGAAGGCCAGGGGAGGCAAACGGG
rnacentral:rRNA from 1 species